GUGAACCACAGCCGAGCUCCAGCUUAUGAGGGAUCAUCCCGUUCCUCUAACCCUGCUCUCUGAGGCCCCGUGUGCAUCGGCCCCAGAACACGCAGGGGACGUGUCCCCCUCGCUUUAAAGGGUCACAUUUCCUCCUGAGCACACAUUCAGAGUGCUCGUGUGGGCUGUAUGUGGAUAGCGCAGAUACUGACCUAAUUAAGAGGAGACACCACUGAAAUACUGCAGACAUGGCAGAGAUACCUUAUCAGUAGAUGGUCAUUGGGCAGCGCGAGGAAUUCUCAUCACCUGAGCAUAAUGCUUUAUGGAUUUCCGAGGAGAGAACCUUUAUCAGAAGGUAUACUGAAGCUGCUAAACAUCAGAAAGACAGAUUGAAGAUCCCUUUCGGGAGCUGGAUCUUAAGCAUCAAAGGCUUCUGUGUACCACCUCAAAGCUCUAGAGGCUAACAGCUAACCAACACACGGAAUACAGAAUCUUCCUUACGUAUGAAAUAUUCCUCAUCCAGCUGAUCCGGAUUUUAAACAUCAGAGACUUGCAAUUCACUGCUGCAUCUGGCCACUAUUGAUUGGGCUAUGUCACAGCGUCAAGUCCCUGUUCCUGUUAGACACGCUUGACUGCUGUUUGCCGAACAGGCAGCAGGAUCCAGAGAACGCCGCUCUCUCGCGGGACCGGUUCAGCAUCUGCACGUGCCUCCCGCGACCUUCUCCUGCGCCGAAGAACAGCGAGGCAGGAAAAUGGAUGCGACAGGAGCAACUGUCACGAUGCAAAUAUGGGAUUUUGUGGAAAAAGUCAGACCGGCACAAUGCAAAUAAAUAAUGUAACUUACAAGCAAAACAUUCUCAAAAAACAAUAUGGUGUUGCACAGAAAUGAUCUGCAUUUUCAAAUAGA